rnacentral:rRNA from 1 species
CGUAGGUGUAAGCACAGUAAUGUGUUCAGCUGAACGAUACUAAUAGACCGAGGGCUUGAACU